rnacentral:rRNA from 1 species
UGGGGAAUAUUGCACAAUGGGGGGAACCCUGAUGCAGCGACGCCGCGUGAGUGAAGAAGUAUUUCGGUAUGUAAAGCUCUAUCAGCAGGGAAGAUAAUGACAGUACCUGACUAAGAAGCCCCGGCUAACUACGUGCCAGCAGCCGUGGUAAUACGUAGGGGGCAAGCGUUAUCCGGAUUUACUGGGUGUAAAGGGAGCGUAGACGGAAUGGCAAGUCUGAAGUGAAAUACCCGGGCUCAACCUGGGAACUGCUUUGGAAACUGUUGUUCUAGAGUGUUGGAGAGGUAAGUGGAAUUCCUGGUGUAGCGGUGAAAUGCGUAGAUAUCAGGAAGAACACCGGAGGCGAAGGCGGCUUACUGGACAAUAACUGACGUUGAGGCUCGAAAGCGUGGGGAUCAAACAGGAUUAGAUACCCUGGUAGUCCACGCUGUAAACGAUGAAUACUAGGUGUCGGGGUGCAAAGCAUCUCGGUGCCGUCGCUAACGCAAUAAGUAUUCCACCUGGGGAGUACGUUCGCAAGAAUG